rnacentral:rRNA from 1 species
GGAUUCCCCUAGUAACUGCGAGUGAAGUGGGAAAAGCUCAAAUUUAAAAUCUGGCGUACCUUUGGUCGUCCGAGUUGUAGUCUGGAGAAGUGUUUUCCGCGCUGGACCGUGUAUAAGUCCCUUGGAACAGGGCGUCAUAGAGGGUGAGAAUCCCGUCUUUAACAUGGACUACCAGUGCUUUGUGAUGCGCUCUCAAAGAGUCGAGUUGUUUGGGAAUGCAGCUCAAAAUGGGUGGUAAAUUCCAUCUAAAGCUAAAUACAGGCGAGAGACCGAUAGCGAACAAGUACCGUGAGGGAAAGAUGAAAAGCACUUUGGAAAGAGAGUUAAACAGUACGUGAAAUUGCUGAAAGGGAAACGCUUGAAGUCAGUCGUGUCUGCCGGGACUCAGCCUUGCUUUUUUGCUUGGUGCACUUUCCGGUUUGAUAGGCCAGUAUCAAUUUUGACUGUUGGAAAAAGAUUAGGGGAAGGUGGCAUCUUCGGGUGUGUUAUAACCCUUUAUCGCAUACAACGGUUGGGAUUGAGGACCGCAGCAUGCCUUUAUGGCCGGGGUUCGCCCACGUUACAUGCUUAGGAUACUGGUGUAAUGGCUUUAAGCGACCCGUCUUGAAACACGGACCAAGGAGUCUAACAUGCCUGCGAGUGUUUGGGUGGAAAACCCAAGUGCAUAAUGAAAGUGAUAGUUGAGACCUUUGUCAUGGAGGGCAUCGACGCCCGGACUUGAUCUACGGAGACGGUUCCGCGGUAGAGCAUGUAUGUUGGGACCCGAAAGAUGGUGAACUAUGCCUGAAUAGGGUGAAGCCAGAGGAAACUCUGGUGGAGGCUCGUAGCGAUUCUGACGUGCAAAUCGAUCGUCAAAUUUGGGUAUAGGGGCGAAAGACUAAUCGAACCAUCUAGUAGCUGGUUCCUGC